UACAUGGGGUGCAACCGUUGCUCGGAAUUACUGGGCGUAAAGCGCGUGUAGGCGGCAUGGCAAGUCGGGUGUGAAAGCCCUCAGCUCAACUGAGGAAGUGCGCCCGAAACUGCUUUGCUUGAGUGCUGGAGAGGGUCGCGGAAUUCCCCAAGUAGAGGUGAAAUUCGUAGAUAUGGGGAGGAACACCGGUGGCGAAGGCGGCGACCUGGACAGUAACUGACGCUGAGACGCGAAAGCGUGGGUAGCAAACAGG
rnacentral:rRNA from 1 species